rnacentral:rRNA from 1 species
UACGGGGGGGGCAAGCGUUGUUCGGAAUUACUGGGCGUAAAGGGCCAGUAGGCGGCCAACUAAGUCGGAUGUGAAAUCCCCAGGCUCAACCUGGGAACUGCAUCCGAUACUGGAUGGCUUGAAUUCGGGAGAGGGAUGCAGAAUUCCAGGUGUAGCGGUGAAAUGCGUAGAUAUCUGGAGGAAUACCGGUGGCGAAGGCGGCAUCCUGGACCGACAUUGACGCUGAACGGCGAAAGCUAGGGGAGCAAACGGGAUUAGAAACCCCAGUAGUCC